GGAGUUUGCGAUCCGCAUCGAAACGGGGGCGAGCGAUACGCACCGCCGUUGGUGGCCGAAAUUAUCGUUUUAAAAUUUUUAGCUGGCCAACGCUACUAUUUUUUUAAAAUCCGAAAACCGUCGUUUUCUUUACGAUGAGUUUGUCUUCGCGAUAUUCCGUUUCUAAAGAACGAAUUGAUUCUGCGCGCAUUAGUUAGCGUACACUGUUUUUAUAAAACGUUAUUCGAUUGACACUAACAAACUAUCGUGGAUUUGUAUAUUAUUUCGUUU